rnacentral:rRNA from 1 species
AACGAACGCUGGCGGCAUGCCUAACACAUGCAAGUCGAACGAGACCUUCGGGUCUAGUGGCGCACGGGUGCGUAACGCGUGGGAACCUGCCCUUAGGUUCGGAAUAACUCCCCGAAAGGGGUGCUAAUACCGGAUAAUGUCUUCGGACCAAAGAUUUAUCGCCUUUGGAUGGGCCCGCGUUGGAUUAGCUAGUUGGUAGGGUAAAAGCCUACCAAGGCGACGAUCCAUAGCUGGUCUGAGAGGAUGAUCAGCCACACUGGGACUGAGACACGGCCCAGACCCCUGCGGGAAGCAGGAGUGGGGAAUAAUGGGACAUGGGCGGAAGGCCGAUCCAGGCAAGCCGGGUGAGUUAUGAAGGGCUUAGGGUUGGAAAGCUCUUUUACCCGGGAUGAUAAUGACAGGACCGGGAGAAUAAGCUCCGGCUAACUCCGU